AUGGCAGUUUUGAUGAAGCUGUAUGUUGGUGACGGCCGUGGAUUUGGUAAGUUGAACAGGGCACACAUCGUACUCAUUCCGAAGAAACCGGACGCGGAGGAAGUUGGGGACUUCCGCCCCAUUAGCCUGACGCAUAGUGCGGCGAAGUUGUUUGCUAAGAUGCUCGCUCUACGGGCUAGAAAGAGGAUGAAGGAGGUGGUGGCAGCAAACCAGUCGGCCUUCAUACAAGGGCGGAACUUGCACGACAAUUUUUUGCUAGUGAGGCAAGUGGCGAGAAAGAUCCAGGAAAGAAAAGAACCAGGGGUGUUCCUCAAGCUCGACAUCUCGAGAGCGUUCGACUCCUUAUCUUGGCCUUUCCUCUUUGAGGUCCUGAGACAAAAAGGGUUCGGCGCCAAGUGGAUUGGGUGGAUCUCGAUCCUCCUUAGAACGGCAUCUACGAAGGUGGUGGUCAAUGGUGUACCUGGUAAAAGUGUGAUUCAUGCUUGCGGCCUCAGGCAGGGAGACCCGGUCUCACCCCUGCUGUUUGUGAUUGCCAUGGACGUUCUUACACAUAUCUUCAGGAAGGGUGCAGAAGAGGGAGUUCUAAGCUCAUUUAGGGGAAUAACACCAAUGCAAAGAGUCUCCAUAUAUGCGGAUGAUGUUGCUCUCUUCAUUAGACCAACCGAAGGGGACCUGAACUUUGUCAGGAGUGCACUUCAGGCGUUUGGAAGAGCCUCGGGACUGUCCGUGAAUUACAGCAAGUCGUCGGCCAUCCUUAUCCGUGGCUCUGAGCAGGACCAGUCCCGUGUUGAGGCGUUGCUGCAAUGCAACAUUGCUGAAUUCCCAUGUAAGUACCUCGGGCUACAGCUUGCUAUCCGGCAAUUAACACGUGGGGAAUGGCAGCCGAUCUUGGACAAGGCCAAGAAGCUUGUUCCGGCUUGGCAGAGGGGGCUAAUUCAAAGGCCGGGCCGGCUCGUACUGGUGAAAUCGGUCAUGGCUGCUAGGCCGGUGCAUCAUCUCAUGGUCAUGGAUGCUCCGAAGUGGGUUUUUGAAGAGCUGGAUAAAUGGAUGCGAGCAUUCUUUUGGACAGCAGAGGAGAAGGUUAAUGGAGGAAACUGCCUUGUCGCUUGGGAUACAAUCUGCACACCUGUGUGCUUUGGAGGGCUCGGCGUCAAGAACCUGGAGUUGCAAGCAUUGGCACUCCGAGUUAGGUGGGAAUGGCUACGGAGAACAGACCCUGACAGGCCGUGGCAGAAGCUACAUAUGGUUGUUGAUAGAGAAGCACGACAAGUAUUUGACAGUCUGGUUAGCAUAACGGUGGGAAACGGAGCCAAAACUCUAUUUUGGAGAGAUAGAUGGCUGCAUGGCUUGGCCAUCGUAGAUAUUGCACCACAGAUCCAUGAUAUGGUGGACACUCGGACACGAAACCGGCGCACGGUUCAGCAAGCCUUGGAGGAUAACAGUUGGGUCCAGGAUGUGGCGGGAGAACUCAGCUUCACAGGACAUAUCCAAUUCCUAAACCUAUGCCACGCCAUCGCUACGACACAUCGAGAUGAUAGCUCCCUUGAUACAUUUGCGUGGCCGGCGGAUGCUUCGGGACAAUACUCGGCCCGAUCAGUUUACAACAUGCUCUGCCAAGGGAGGGAGAGAGUUCCUUACGCCUCGUGCAUCUGGAGGAGCUGGGCGCCGUUGAAAUGUAAAAUCCAUGUCUGGCUCACUAUCCAGCAUCGGAUCUGGACCUCCGAUCGGCGAGCGCGACAUGGACUACAAGACCACCCCUCGGCCUGUUUCACGUGCCUGCAAGAGGAGGACAAUGCAGAACACAUACACUUACAAUGCUCUUACGGUAGACAGGUGUGGCACAAGUGCAUCGUCAGGUUGAACUUGGAGGUGGCUCACCCGCUUGGGCAGGAUAGCCUGAUGGAUUGGUGGCUACAAGCUAGAAGAAACUUCACGCGGGCUGCAAGAAGAGGAUUCGACACGUUCGUAAUCGCAGUAACUUGGUCUCUAUGGAAGCAGAGAAACGCGAGAGUCUUCAACCGGAUAAAUCAACAAAAAACCGUGGAUGAGCUACACAACCACAUCAUGAUUGAGAUCAAAGAAUGGAAGGAAGCCGGACUAGGUGUAGGUGUGUUAGACCGAUUUGUGAGAGAGUAG
rnacentral:rRNA from 1 species